rnacentral:rRNA from 1 species
CGCGCAGGCGGUUAUGCAAGCCUGGUGUGAAAGACCGCAGCUCAACUGCGGGAGCGCGCUGGGAACUGCAUGACUAGAGUUCAAGAGGGGAAGCUGGAAUUCCUGGUGUAGGGGUGAAAUCUGUAGAGAUCAGGAAGAACAUCAGUGGCGAAGGCGAGCUUCUGGCUAUGAACUGACGCUGAGGCGCGAAAGCGUGGGGAGCGAACA